rnacentral:tRNA from 1 species
UUAAUUGAAGCCAAAAAGAGGCAUUUCACUGUUAAUGAUUGAAAUGGGAAAUUUACCCCAAUUAAA